CAGCAGUCCGCAGUGCCUUCCUUGAUCCACCUUCCAAGACUGUUGCAUCUGGACGUGACGAGGAAUGUACACCAAUCUAGUUCAUGACCUCUUCGGACAAGAUGUGCAACCUAAAUGUGGGAAAUACAAGGCAGGGAUCAGGGUGAUGACUUCAUGGAUGGAUGUGG